AACGAACGCUGGCGGCAGGCCUAACACAUGCAAGUCGAACGCUCCCUUCGGGGAGAGUGGCAGACGGGUGAGUAACGCGUGGGAACAUACCUAGUGGUACGGGACAACUCAGGGAAACUUGGGCUAAUACCGUAUAAGCCCUACGGGGGAAAGAUUUAUCGCCAUUAGAUUGGCCCGCGUUGGAUUAGCUAGUUGGUGGGGUAACGGCCUACCAAGGCGACGAUCCAUAGCUGGUCUGAGAGGAUGAUCAGCCACACUGGGACUGAGACACGGCCCAGACUCCUACGGGAGGCAGCAGUGGGGAAUAUUGGACAAUGGGCGCAAGCCUGAUCCAGCCAUGCCGCGUGUGUGAUGAAGGCCUUAGGGUUGUAAAGCACUUUCAGUCGUGAAGAUAAUGACAUUAGCGACAGAAGAAGCCCCGCUAACUU
rnacentral:rRNA from 1 species